rnacentral:rRNA from 1 species
AGUGAACGCUGGCGGUAGGCCUAACACAUGCAAGUCGAACGGCAGCACAGUAAGAGCUUGCUCUUACGGGUGGCGAGUGGCGGACGGGUGAGGAAUACAUCGGAAUCUACUUUUUCGUGGGGGAUAACGUAGGGAAACUUACGCUAAUACCGCAUACGACCUACGGGUGAAAGCAGGGGAUCUUCGGACCUUGCGCGUUUGAAUGAGCCGAUGUCGGAUUAGCUAGUUGGCGGGGUAAAGGCCCACCAAGGCGACGAUCCGUAGCUGGUCUGAGAGGAUGAUAAGCAAAACUGGAACUGAGAAACGGGACAGACACCUAGGGGAGGCAGAAGUGGGGAAUAUUGGAAAAUGGGCGAAAGCCUGAACCAGCCAUACCGCGUGGGUGAAGAAGGCCUUCGGGUUGUAACGCCCUUUUGUUGGGAAAGAAAAGCAGCAGGUUAAUACCCCGCUGUUCUGACGGUACCAAAAGAAUAAGCACCGGCUAACUUCGU